rnacentral:rRNA from 1 species
AGCAGGUCCCAAGGGUAUGGCUGUUCGCCAUUUAAAGUGGUACGCGAGCUGGGUUCAGAACGUCGUGAGACAGUUCGGUCCCUAUCUGCCGUGGGCGUUCGAGAUUUGAGGGGAGCUGUCCUUAGUACGAGAGGACCGGGAUGGACACACCUCUGGUGUUCCGGUUGUCACGCCAGUGGCAUUGCCGGGUAGCUAAGUGUGGAUGGGAUAACCGCUGAAAGCAUCUAAGCGGGAAGCCCACCCCAAGAUGAGAUCUCGCUGGGACCUUGAGUCCCCUAAAGGGCCGUUGAAGACCACAACGUUGAUAGGCUAGGUGUGGAAGCGCAGUAAUGCGUGUAGCUAACUAGUACUAAUGACCCGUGAGGCUUGACCAUAUAACGCCAAAACAG